GUGUCAGCCGCCGCGGUAAUACGGGGGGAGCAAGCGUUGUUCGGAUUUACUGGGCGUAAAGGGCGCGUAGGCGGCGUGGUAAGUCACUUGUGAAAUCUCCGAGCUUAACUCGGAACGGUCAAGUGAUACUGCUGUGCUAGAGUGCGGAAGGGGCAACUGGAAUUCUCGGUGUAGCGGUGAAAUGCGUAGAUAUCGAGAGGAACACCUGCGGCGAAGGCGGGUUGCUGGGCCGACACUGACGCUGAGGCGCGAAAGCUAGGGGAGCGAACGGGAUUAGAAACCCUCGUAGUCC
rnacentral:rRNA from 1 species